rnacentral:rRNA from 1 species
AUUGAACGCUGGCGGCAUGCCUUACACAUGCAAGUCGAACGGCCGCACGAGUGCUUUCCUCUGCUGGCGAUUGGCGCACGGGUGUGUAUUACAUCUGGAUAUCUCCUGUAGUGGGGGAUAGUCCGUCGAAAACCGGAUUGAUACCGCAUACGAUCUUCGUAUGCCAUCUGGUGCCCUUCUGACCUCCCGCUUUAGUGUUACCUGUUGACUGAUUAGCUAGUUGGUGGGGUAAAGGCCUACCAAGGCGACGAUCAGUAGCUGGUCUGAGAGGACGACCAGCCACACUGGGACUGAGACACGGUCCAGACUCCUAAGGGAGGCAGCAGUGGGGAAUGUUGGGCAAUGGGCGAAAGCCUGAUGGAGCAACGCCGCGUGUGUGAAGAAGGCCUUCGGGUUGUAAAGCACUUUUGUUAGGGAAGAAAACAUUGGUAAUAAAACGGGCAGGGGAUGACGGUACCGGAAGAAAAAGCAACGGCUAACUACGUG